rnacentral:tRNA from 1 species
GCAGAGAUGGCUCAGUGGUUAAGAGCAUUGGCUGUUUUUCCAGAGGACCUGGGUUGAAUUCCCAGCACCUACA